rnacentral:tRNA from 1 species
GCGCCCGUAGCUCAAUUGGAUAGAGCAUCUGACUACGGAUCAGAAGGUUUGGGGUUCGAAUCCCUACGGGCGCGCCA